CUGCUCCUUUGUGUUGUAGUGCUGACUCCAAGGAGCUUUGAGGAAAAUCUUGAGUUGGACUUGAGUGCGUGGAUUUCCUGUGUCAUCAAGAAGUCUUUGAACUGUGUGUGCUGCAGAUGACUACACUGAAGGACUUGUUUCAGGAUUGUGAGGUGCUCUUUUAGGACGAGGCCUUAGUAUAGAAGUAGGGGGCUUGGAUGCAGGCCUCUCUUACUUGUUUCGAAGUUUGAUGUCACUCUGUGUUGGCCAGGGACCUUAGGCAUGCACCUGUGCCUUCUAAAACAGAGCUGGUGGCAGAUGGAAUUUUCAUCACACUCUCACCCCUACAAGCUCCUCCCGAGUGUAGUAUCUGUGACUGUGUGUGAUUAAGGCUUGGGAUGAGCCUGCAUGCAAUGGCAAAGGUGAAGGAUGCAUAGAUGAAAUUAAGGAAUUGAAUCAACUGACAAUGAGUUCACAAAGAACUCAUAGAGAUGUGAACUAUCAUAUCAGGAGGAGGCAAUUCUGACAGCCCACAGAUAACAAGAUGACUUGAGUAGAAAGACAAGACCACAGUCUAGCUGUCCCCCUGCCUGCAUCCUGCAGGCCCUGAGCAGAGGACCAGCAAGCCUUGGAGACAGCAUCUAGAGCCUCUGACGCUGGGACACUUGGUUACAUAACAGCAGAAAAUGAACUCAGGCCUGUGCUACCUUACAUUCUUAAUAAGUACCUGAGCCCACACCUGCCUCAUCUACUGUCCCAGAAUAAAUAAGCCUGAAGUACAGCCUGGCUCAACACCUUCCACUUUCAAAUGAAACAUCGUCAGCUCAGAAAAAGACUUCUUCAAUGCCAGAAGGCAAUUUAAGAGCAGACUGGGGAAGAGAAUUUAGGCAUCGUGAUGAGAAGGCUGCUUCUAUAGAGCCUUACCUUUGUUUUUUCUUGUUUCUUCCGAGGUGUCCCCUCUACUCAGUGUCUCUUAGCUCACAACAGAUCAGAACUCCCUCAUAAAACUCACCUUACACAGGACUGAUUGGUCAGCUACCGUUUUUUUCAGCUCCGUCUCCUGAAGAAUCCAUUAUUGAUGAUGAAACCUGUGAAGUUGGUAACCUCUCCGGUAAACUCUCCAUGACAUCCAUGAGAAAUUUGUGUAUUGGUUUUCUGUUAUAUCCCUCCCCUCUCCUUCCUAACACCAUUCAACUACUGGUGGACGAGUCAGAUCUUCUAACUCUGAGUACUGACAUGUUUGGUUUUUCUCCUCGUUGCUACAGAAGCUCUCUGCCUAGCUACACCACUAGCCCAAGAUGGAAUUUCUUCCAGGACAGAACCUAGACUUUUCUCCAGGCCACUACAUAGCACCAGAUCGUUAAGUUCUAUAGUGUUCUUUUGCAGUAAAUAGGACCAACGUCCUGUUUUCUCCCUUUGAUAGUAGGUUCUAGAGGGACAUGGAAACACAGGUGACAAGUACGAAUUCGAAUCCCUGAAGUCAUUUACAACCUGUGUGAAGUCACGAGACAUCCUUUCUGUGCCUUGGUUUUGUCUUGAGAUUGCCAUGCACGUACCCCAUAUGAUUGA